ACGCUCGACACCUACGGGGGGCAGCAGUGGGGAAUAUUGCACAAUGGGGGAAACCCUGAUGCAGCGACGCCGCGUGAGCGAAGAAGUAUCUCGGUAUGUAAAGCUCUAUCAGCAGGGAAGAAGAUGACGGUACCUGACUAAGAAGCACCGGCUAAAUACGUGCCAGCAGUCGCGGUAAUCUGAGCGGGCUGGCAAGGC
rnacentral:rRNA from 1 species